rnacentral:rRNA from 1 species
GUAGGUGGCAAGCGUUGUCCGGAAUUAUUGGGCGUAAAGCGCGCGCAGGCGGUUCUUUAAGUCUGAUGUGAAAGCCCACGGCUCAACCGUGGAGGGUCAUUGGAAACUGGAGAACUUGAGUACAGAAGAGGAAAGCGGAAUUCCACGUGUAGCGGUGAAAUGCGUAGAGAUGUGGAGGAACACCAGUGGCGAAGGCGGCUUUCUGGUCUGUAACUGACGCUGAGGCGCGAAAGCGUGGGGAGCAAACAGGGAUUAGAUACCCUGGUAGUCCACGCCGUAAGCGAUGAGUGCUAAGUGUUAGGGGGUUUCCGCCCCCCUUAGUGCUGCAGCUAACGCAUUAAGCACUCCGCCUGGGAGUACGGCCGCAAGGCUG